rnacentral:rRNA from 1 species
AUUGAACGCUGGCGGCAGGCCUAACACAUGCAAGUCGAGCGGAUGAAGGGAGCUUGCUCCUGGAUUCAGCGGCGGACGGGUGAGUAAUGCCUAGGAAUCUGCCUGGUAGUGGGGGAUAACGUCCGGAAACGGGCGCUAAUACCGCAUACGUCCUGAGGGAGAAAGUGGGGGAUCUUCGGACCUCACGCUAUCAGAUGAGCCUAGGUCGGAUUAGCUAGUUGGUGGGGUAAAGGCCUACCAAGGCGACGAUACGUAACUGGUCUGAGAGGAUGAUCAGUCACACUGGAACUUAGACACGGUCCAGACUCCUACGGGAGGCAGCAGUGGGGAAUAUUGGACAAUGGGCGAAAGCCUGAUCCAGCCAUGCCGCGUGUGUGAAGAAGGUCUUCGGAUUGUAAAGCACUUUAAGUUGGGAGGAAGGGCAGUAAGUUAAUACCUUGCUGUUUUGACGUUACCAACAGAAUAAGCACCGGCUAACUUCGUG